CAGCAGCCACGGUAAAACGUAGGUGGCGAGCGUUGUCCGGAUUUAUUGGGCGUAAAGGGAGUGUAGGCGGUCUUUUAAGUCUGAUGUGAAAGCCCACGGCUCAACCGUGGAGGGUCAUGGGAAACUGGGAGACUUGAGUGCAGAAGAGGAGAGCGGAAUUCCAUGCGUAGCGGUGAAAUGCGUAGAUAUAUGGAGGAACACCAGUGGCGAAAGCGACUCUCUGGUCCGUAACUGACGCUGAGGAGCGAAAGCGUGGGGAGCGAACAGGAUUAGAUACCCCUGUAGUCCCUGUCUCUUAUAC
rnacentral:rRNA from 1 species